rnacentral:sRNA from 1 species
ACUGGAUGUGGUGGUGCACACCUAUAAUCCCAGCUCCUUGGGAGGCUGAGUCAGGAGGAUCAUAAGUUCACAGCCAGCCUCAGCAACAUAAUGAGGCUUUAAGCAACUUUGUGAGAUUCUGUCUCAA